rnacentral:rRNA from 1 species
GAUGAACGCUGGCGGCGUGCCUAAUACAUGCAAGUCGAGCGAACAGACGAGGAGCUUGCUCCUCUGACGUUAGCGGCGGACGGGUGAGUAACACGUGGAUAACCUACCUAUAAGACUGGGAUAACUUCGGGAAACCGGAGCUAAUACCGGAUAAUAUAUUGAACCGCAUGGUUCAAUAGUGAAAGACGGUUUUGCUGUCACUUAUAGAUGGAUCCGCGCCGCAUUAGCUAGUUGGUAGGGUAACGGCUUACCAAGGCAACGAUGCGUAGCCGACCUGAGAGAGUGAUCGGCCACCCGGGAAGUGAGACACGGUCAAGACUCCUACGGGAGGCAGCAGAAGGGAAUCUGCCGCAAUGGGGGAAAGCAAGGCGGAGCAACGCCGCGCGAGUGAUGAAGGUCUUCGGAUCGUAAAACUCGGUUAUGAGGGAAGAACAAAUGUGUAAGUAACUAUGCACGUCUUGACGGUAACUAAUCAGAAAGCCACGGCUAACUACGUG